rnacentral:rRNA from 1 species
UAAUCAUUUGUCUAUUAAUUGUAGACUAGUAUGAAAGGCUACAUGAGAAUCAAACUGUCUCUUGUAAUAAAUCAAUUAAACUGAUCUUCCAGUACAAAAGCUGGAAUACCCAUAUAAGACCAGAAGACCCUGUGAAGCUUAAACUAAAUCAUUAAAACAAAUAAUGACUACUUUCAGUUGGGGCGACUUUGGAAAAAAACAAAACUUCCAAACACCAAUGAGCAAUCCCUCAUAUAAUGCAGGCCAACAAGCCUUAAUACGACCCAGUCUAACUGACAAUUGAACCAAGUUACUCCAGGGAUAACAGCGCUAUCUUCUUCAAGAGCCCAUAUCAAAAAGAAGGUUUACGACCUCGAUGUUGGAUCAGGACACCCAAAUGGUGUAGCCGCUAUUAAAGGUU